AUACGUAGGGUGCAAGCGUUAAUCGGAAUUACUGGGCGUAAAGCGUGCGCAGGCGGCUUUGUAAGACAGUGGUGAAAUCCCCGGGCUCAAACUGGGAACUGCCAUUGUUACCGCAAGGCUGGAGUGCGGCAGAGGGGGAUGGAACUCCGCGGGUAGCAGUGAAAUGCGUAGAUAUGCGGAGGAACACCGAUGGCGAAGGCAAUCCCCUGGGCCUGCACUGACGCUCAUGCACGAAAGCGUGGGGAGCAAACAGGAUUAGAUACCCUGGUAGUCCACGCCCUAAACGAUGUCAACUGGUUGUUGGGGAUUUAUUUUCUCAGUAACGAAGCUAACGCGUGAAGUUGACCGCCUGGGGAGUACGGCCGCAAGGUUAAAACUCAAAUGAAUUGACGGGG
rnacentral:rRNA from 1 species